UGAAAGUUUCCUUCUAUUUUCAUCCAAGUACGCACAUGCGCAAAGUUAACUUUCGAAUACACAUCCUCUAUGGAAUUUUGUACAUCAGGAGUUUGUAAACAUUGACCGAUAAGACAACAAUUUGAAACAAAAAUGAAAUGUUGGCAUGCUUAAAAGUAAGACAAGAAGAAGUCCAACCGACGUAUAACCUCUGAAACAGCUGCCAUGUGCUUAAACGAAAGAAAUCCUCUAAAACCUGAAAACCAGAUGUCCCACUUCGUACACAAACUGUAUCAUGUAUGUUGACUCCUCCACAUGUGCUUACAUUUACCAAUCUCAUAUACCAAA
rnacentral:lncRNA from 1 species